AUUGAACGCUGGCGGAAUGCUUUACACAUGCAAGUCGAACGGCAGCACGGAGAGCUUGCUCUCUGGUGGCGAGUGGCGAACGGGUGAGUAAUAUAUCGGAACGUGUCCAAUAAUGGGGGAUAACGAGUCGAAAGAUUCGCUAAUACCGCAUACGCCCUACGGGGGAAAGCAGGGGAUCGUAAGACCUUGCGUUAAUGGAGCGGCCGAUAUCUGAUUAGCUUGUUGGUGAGGUAAAGGCUCACCAAGGCGACGAUCAGUAGCUGGUUUGAGAGAACGACCAGCCACACUGGAACUGAGACACGGUCCAGACUCCUACGGGAGGCAGCAGUGGGGAAUUUUGGACAAUGGGGGCAACCCUGAUCCAGCCAUUCCGCGUGAGUGAAGAAGGCCUUCGGGUUGUAAAGCUCUUUCGCGAGGGAAGAAAACUUAUGAUCGAAUAAAUCAUGAGGUUGACGGUACCUUGAUAAGAAGCACCGGCUAACUACGUGCCAGCAGCCGCGGUAAUACGUAGGGUGCGAGCGUUAAUCGGAAUUACUGGGCGUAAAGCGUGCGCAGGCGGUUUUGUAAGUCGGAUGUGAAAUCCCCGGGCUCAACCUGGGAACUGCGUUCGAAACUGCAAGGCUAGAGUGUGUCAGAGGGGGGUAGAAUUCCACGUGUAGCAGUGAAAUGCGUAGAGAUGUGGAGGAAUACCAAUGGCGAAGGCAGCCCCCUGGGAUAACACUGACGCUCAUGCACGAAAGCGUGGGGAGCAAACAGGAUUAGAUACCCUGGUAGUCCACGCCCUAAACGAUGUCAACUAGUUGUUGGUAGAGUAAAAUCUAUGAGUAACGUAGCUAACGCGUGAAGUUGACCGCCUGGGGAGUACGGUCGCAAGAUUA
rnacentral:rRNA from 1 species